rnacentral:rRNA from 1 species
GUGAACGCUGGCGGUAGGCCUAACACCUGCAAGUCGAACGGCAGCACCGUAAGAGCUUGCUCUUACGGGUGGCGAGUGGCGGACGGGUGAGGAAUACCUCGGAAUCUACUUUUUCGUGGGGGAUAACGUAGGGAAACUUACGCUAAUACCGCAUACGACCUACGGGUGAAAGCCGGGGAUCUUCGGACCUUGCGCGAUUGAAUGAGCCGAUGUCGGAUUAGCUAGUUGGCGGGGUAAAGGCCCACCAAGGCGACGAUCCGUAGCUGGUCUGAGAGGAUGAUCAGCCACACUGGAACUGAGACACGGUCCAGACUCCUACGGGAGGCAGCAGUGGGGAAUAUUGGACAAUGGGCGCAAGCCUGAUCCAGCCAUACCGCGUGGGUGAAGAAGGCCUUCGGGUUGUAAAGCCCUUUUGUUGGGAAAGAAAAGCAGCAGGUUAAUACCCCGCUGUUCUGACGGUACCCAAAGAAUAAGCACCGGCUAACUUCGUG